rnacentral:tRNA from 4 species
GGCAGGGUAGCCAAGUCGGUCUAAGGCAAGCGGUUCAUACCCGCUCAUGCGAGGGUUCGAAUCCCCCCCCUGCUACCA